UACGAAGGGGGCUAGCGUUGCUCGGAAUCACUGGGCGUAAAGGGUGCGUAGGCGGGUCUUUAAGUCAGGGGUGAAAUCCUGGAGCUCAACUCCAGAACUGCCUUUGAUACUGAAGACUUGAGUCCGGGAGAGGUGAGUGGAACUGCGAGUGUAGAGGUGAAAUUCGUAGAUAUUCGCAAGAACACCAGUGGCGAAGGCGGCUCACUGGCCCGGUACUGACGCUGAGGUGCGAAAGCGUGGGGAGCAAACAGG
rnacentral:rRNA from 1 species